AACGAACGCUGGCGGCAGGCCUAACACAUGCAAGUCGAACGAGACCUUCGGGUCUAGUGGCGCACGGGUGCGUAACGCGUGGGAAUCUACCCUUAGGUGCGGAAUAACUCAGAGAAAUUUGAGCUAAUACCGCAUAAUGACUCCGGUCCAAAGAUUUAUCGCCUAAGGAUGAGCCCGCGUAAGAUUAGCUAGUUGGUGAGGUAAAAGCUCAC
rnacentral:rRNA from 1 species